rnacentral:rRNA from 1 species
AGGCAGCAGUGGGGAAUUUUGGACAAUGGGCGCAAGCCUGAUCCAGCAAUGCCGCGUGUGCGAAGAAGGCCUUCGGGUUGUAAAGCACUUUUGUCCGGAACGAAAAAUCUUUGGCUAAUACCUAGAGGUGAUGACGGUACCGGAAGAAUAAGCACCGGCUAACUACGUGCCAGCAGCCGCGGUC